CUGUGUGGGUUUUCUCCGGGUGCUCCGGUUUCCUCCCACAUUCCAAAAACAUGCAUGGCAGGCUGAUUGGACGCUCUAAAUUGUCCCUAAGUGUGAGUGUGAGCGUGGAUGGUUGUUCGUCUCUGUGUGCCCUGCGAUUGGCUAGCAACUGAUUCAGGGUGUCCCCCGCCUACUGCCCGAAGACGGCUGGGAUAGGCUCCAGCACCCCCCGCGAGUGAGGAUCAAGCGGUUCGGAAAAUGGAUGGAUGGAUGGAUAUAUAUAUGAGGCCUUCCAACCCAGAGGAGUCGUAGCAGUGUCUCCUGUUCUCAGUCCCCCCUCCCCCCCUCUGCUGCAACACUCUUCAGAAGAUACCUCUGCUUUUUUCCCCCUCAUUAUCCAUGCCAGAUGCUUCCGACUAGCUCCCCAAUCAUGAGUUGGGAGGCCUCACAGUCAGGCAGGAGGUGGGAAAGUCCAGGGUCUAUUGGAACAAAAACUGAGACACCAGUAUGCACGCAUGUGCUGAUCUAUCGGCUCAGCAAAGUUUGGAUUACUUCUAAAGCACCGAGCAGAGGAGCAGACACACACCAAGUAGUGAGAGAGACAGAUGAAAUUUCAAACAGUGUCUGUGCUAUGUUUGUCGAGGACCAUCUGUUUCUUCCUGUCUUGCUGCUUGAUUUCUGUGUACACUAUCUCACUUGUUCACCGCUGGUCCAAACACAGACGGUGCUGUUUCCUUUUCAAUCUAAGAAAAGAACACAAUGGCGUUCAGACAGGAUGCAGUGAAGAACUCCUGAAAUUUCUUCAUCUGUAACAGCUACGGUGGUGGUUUCACAAUUCUGAUUUUAUUUGGCAAAGGUGGCACAUGAUGACAACACUCAUCUUGUCAUUUUGUUGGUGACUUCGGAUUUGAAGGAUUUGAACAUUUUUAUCAUCUUGAAUACAGACACUCAAUAAAGCAAAUAUGUCAUGCCAAAGCUUUGCGGUGACAAAUUUCAAGUUCAACCUUACAAACAUUCAGACACUCCUUGCCAUGUUGCAGUCUUAAGAAAAAAGGAAGAAUAGAGAAAUUCACAUUUCUUCUCUGCUUCAAGUGUCAAACUUAGAUGAGCAUCUGGAUUUAGUCUGGUCUUUAAACUACUCCUGAACUCUCCAUCUGACCUUUGGUUACGACCUUUGCUCAUCUCAAAUUGUUAUAUCAGUCAGAGGUUAAAAUACAUGAAAGAACACAUGCUGGACAUGUCACAUUGAUGUAUGCCCCUUUGCCAUUGCGGACACACACACACACACGCACACACACAUUUGCACCCACACACAUUUACUUCAUUUCACAACAAUUUAACAAACAUUCUUCCAGAAAUUUGCACCACUGGUGGAGUCCAUGUCUUAAAACCUCCAAUCAUUGCUCUUUGUGCCUUGGGCAUGUGAACUUUGGAUCACACAAUGCCAAUACUCGUUUAUUUUUCAUACAAAAGAGUGAGUUACUUGCUUUGUUUCACCACGUGUGAUAGGAACAGACAUAAAAGACUUUCAGAUGAUUGGCAUCUUCUCAUCUGGCGGAUCAGCGUUUCUCAAGCUUUACUGAGCCAAAGCAGAUACUGUAUUAGAAACAUCUCACCACACACCACCAAACAGAAACGGAGGAGAAACUGCAGUGAUACAGGCCAGAAUCUCAUAUAAGAUUGACCGUAUGGCGAAGAGUCAUGGUGGUCACACGCAGCUCCGGGAAAAGGCGAGGCAGAGGUGACCUGAUGUAUUCAGGGUUGGGCUUUUCAAAAACAUUACAACACAGCUGUCAUCCUUCAUCAGCUAACACAUAAUCAUGUUUAUGGUGAGUAAGGUUAGGUUUGGUAAAAUUGUUUGUUGAGUAUGACUCACAAGAUUGUCAUUAGAGGCUGAUUAUGAUGUUACUGAUGAGACAUUUCCUAGUAGGGCUGAAUCCAUUAUCUUCCAUCAAUUUGUAAGAUGUGUAUUUCAUGGUGGCACACUGAAAAUACAGUACCGCAUGUCUAUAUCAUUAACCUCACAUCAUGAACAUUAGUGAGUGUAUCACGCCAGUCUACAGGUGGAAAACGUACGCAGGCAAGCACGCACAUACACACACCCAGGUACAGUCACUUACAUAACUCUGAAGUCGCAUUUCUAAAUUUUUUUCUGAUUUUUUGUCCCAAAACCAGUUAUCAUCCAAUCAGUACUUUGUAGUUGGCGGAGUGUAAUUUGCACAAAAAAUGCUGAUGGAAAUUAUGAACAAUACAAUUUAAUGCAAAUUGAGUUAUUGUUUAAGCAUUUGUGUGUUUGCUAUUUUGACCUCAGGAAAUAUCUGACCAUUUCAUGCAUUUAAAUGAAUAAACAAAGAAAUUUGAAAAAGCCAUUCAGUACAAUGUGCUGACACAGCAACAAAGUACAGCAAUAAUAAAAAACUAUUCUUACAUUAAUAUUAAUAAUUUGUAUUUAUAUUGCACUUAAUUGAACGGUGUUUGUUUUUUCUUCUUUCUUCUUUCUACCUACAUUCUUGCUGCUGGAGGCUGUAAAUUUCCCCAGUGUGGGACAAAUAAAGGAUAUCUUAA